UGCCGGACCUGACUGCUAUCGGAUUGAUACUAAGCCAUGCGAGUCAUUGUAGUAAUACAAGGCAGACGGCUCACUAACGCGUAGUCAACCUACCCUAUGGACGGGGAUAACCUCGGGAAACUGAGAAUAAUACCCGAUAGAACAUUAUACCUGGAAUGGUUUAUGUUUCAAAUAAUUUAUUGCCGUAGGAUGGGACUGCGGCCUAUCAGUUUGUUGGUGAGGUAAUGGCCCACCAAGACUAUUACAGGUACGGGCUCUGAGAGGAGUAGCCCGGAGAUGGGUACUGAGACACGGACCCAGGCCCUAUGGGGCGCAGCAGGCGAGAAAACUUUGCAAUGUGCGAAAGCACGACAAGGUUAAUCCGAGUGGUUUCUGCUAAAGGAACCUUUUGUCAGUCCUAGAAACACUGGCGAAUAAGGGGUGGGCAAGUUCUGGUGU
rnacentral:rRNA from 1 species